rnacentral:lncRNA from 1 species
CAAUAAAUAUUUGAAUUGAAUUGGUAAAAGAUAUGACAUGGGUAUAAUCUGUUCUAAUCUUCAUAAGUAGAGUUUGAAUAUUGAUUAUAUUUUUUAGUAAGACUAGACAUCGUGGUUUCGUCCUUGAAUCAAAGUACCUAGUAUGCUUAUUUUUAGACUGGACUUUAAGUACACGUAUUGACGACUAAUAAACCCAUGCUGAUCUUAAGG